rnacentral:rRNA from 1 species
AACGAACGCUGGCGGCAUGCCUAACACAUGCAAGUCGAACGAGACCCUCGGGUCUAGUGGCGCACGGGUGCGUAACGCGUGGGAACCUGCCCUUAGGUUCGGAAUAACUCCCCGAAAGGGGUGCUAAUACCGGAUAAUGUCUUCGGACCAAAGAUUUAUCGCCUUUGGAUGGGCCCGCGUUGGAUUAGCUAGUUGGUAGGGUAAAAGCCUACCAAGGCGACGAUCCAUAGCUGGUCUGAGAGGAUGAUCAGCCACACUGGGACUGAGACACGGCCCAGACUCCUACGGGAAGCAGCAGUGGGGAAUAUUGGACAAUGGGCGAAAGCCUGAUCCAGCAAUGCCGCGUGAGUGAUGAAGGCCUUAGGGUUGUAAAGCUCUUUUACCCGGGAUGAUAAUGACAGUACCGGGAGAAUAAGCUCCGGCUAACUCCGUG